GGCACUAUAGCCAAGUGGUUACGGCGACAGAUUCGAAUUAAUAAUCUAAUCUGUUUCACUUUGUGAGCGCAGGUUCAAAUCCUGCUGGUGUCG